rnacentral:tRNA from 1 species
AGGGGUGUAGCUCAGUGGUAGAGCACCUGCCUCACAUGUGAGGCACUGCAUUCAAUCCUCAGCACCAUAU